UUCUUUUUUCUUUUUGUUCUUUUCUUUGAAAGAACAAAAAGAGAUUGGAUGAUCCGAUGAUGGGAAGACGUACUGGAUCCCCAUGAGUCUCGGGAGCAGCCAAGGAGACGACCAAAGAACCAAAUCUGGGGAGGCAGAAAAGGAUUGGGCUGUCAGCUCAGCUGUACGUGCUUGCUAGCUUAUACGUGCACGGGAACGGAAACCAAGCCAGCCGAAAACUUUGUUGGAUUGGAUCGAUCGAUGUGACUCUCAUUUUCCUCUAAGAACCGUCAUAAAAUAUAUAUCUGUUUUAUUACACGGUAUGGUCCUUUAAUGGGAUGGGUGGAACCAGAUUAGGCUUGGGGCGUAUCCCAUUCCCAGCCUAAAAUUUUGAAAUUCUGUUUUAUGCUUUGAAUAAAGUUUUUUUUUUUUUUCUAAAUUGGGUUGAUUAAAUUAAUAUUUGUUCAAAAUAGGUGUGAGAGUUUCAUGCUCUAUUAAAAAGAAUGUAAGAAUUAAAAGU